rnacentral:rRNA from 1 species
CUACGGGUCGCACCAGUGGGGAAUAUUGGACAAUGGGGGCAACCCUGAUCCAGCGACGCCGCGUGUGUGAAGAAGGCCUGCGGGUUGUAAAGCACUUUUAGUGGGGAUGAAAAGUCCAAGGUUAAUACCUUUGGAUCUUGACCUAACCCAAAGAAAAAGCACCGGCUAACUCUGUGCCAGCAGCCGCGGUAAUACAGAGGGUGCAAGCGUUAAUCGGAAUUACUGGGCGUAAAGCGUGCGUAGGCGGUUGUUUAAGUCGGAUGUGAAAUCCCCGGGCUCAACCUGGGAAUUGCAUUCGAUACUGGACAGCUAGAGUUCGGCAUAGGGAAGUGGAAUUUCCGGUGUAGCGGUGAAAUGCGUAGAUAUCGGAAGGAACAUCAGUGGCGAAAGCGACUUCCUGGACCAGAACUGACGCUCAGGCACGAAAGCGUGGGGAGCAAACAGGAUUAGAUACCCCCGUAGUC